rnacentral:rRNA from 1 species
GUCCUUUUGAUUUUUAUUUAAGGUCUGACCUGCCCACUGAUUUAUUUAAUGGCCGCGGUAUUUUGACCGUGCAAAGGUAGCAUAAUAAUUUGUCUUUUAAUUGAAGGCUUGUAUGAAUGGUUGGACGAGAAAAUUACUUUCUUUAUAAUAAAAUAAUUAAUUUUAUUUUUUAGUUAAAAAGCUUAAAUGUUGUUGUAGGACGAGAAGACCCUAUAGAACUUUAUAUUUAUUUUUAUAUUAAUAUUUUUGGUUAAUAAUAUAUUGUAUUUUUAUAAAUAUUUUGUUGGGGCGACAAGAAAAUUUAUUUAACUUUUUUUUAUUAAUUUCAUUAAUUAAUGUAUAAAUGAUCCUUUAUUAUGGAUAAUUAGAAUAAGUUACCUUAGGGAUAACAGCGUAAUUUUUUUGGAGAGUUCUUAUCGAUAAAAAAGUUUGCGA